rnacentral:rRNA from 1 species
UACGGGGGGGGCAAGCGUUGUUCGGAAUUACUGGGCGUAAAGGGCUCGUAGGUGGCCAACUAAGUCAGACGUGAAAUCCCUCGGCUUAACCGGGGAACUGCGUCUGAUACUGGAUGGCUUGAGUUCGGGAGAGGGAUGCGGAAUUCCAGGUGUAGCGGUGAAAUGCGUAGAUAUCUGGAGGAAUACCGGUGGCGAAGGCGGCAUCCUGGACCGAGAUUGACGCUGAUGAGCGAAAGCUAGGGGAGCAAACGGGG